rnacentral:rRNA from 1 species
UUUGAUCCUGGCUCAGGACGAACGCUGGCGGCGUGCCUAACACAUGCAAGUCGAACGGGGUCCAUGAGAGCUUGCUCUCGGAAGACCUAGUGGCGAACGGGUGAGUAACACGUGAGAAACCUGCCUUGGAGUGGGGAAUAACUCGGGGAAACUCGAGCUAAUACCGCAUACCUUCCUUUGAUCGCACGGUCAGCUGAAGAAAGAAUUUCGCUCCAAGAGGGUCUCGCGGCCUAUCAGUUUGUUGGUGGGGUAACGGCCUACCAAGACUACGACGGGUAGCUGGUUUGAGAGAACGAUCAGCCACACUGGAACUGAGACACGGUCCAGACUCCUACGGGAGGCAGCAGUGGGGAAUCUUGCGCAAUGGGCGAAAGCCUGACGCAGCAACGCCGCGUGCGGGAUGAAGGCCUUCGUGGUUGUAAACCGCUUUCAACAGGGACGAAAAUGACGGUACCUGCAGAAGAAGCCCCGGCUAACUACGUGCCAGCAGCCGCGGUAAUACGUAGGGGGCGAGCGUUGUCCGGAAUCAUUGGGCGUAAAGAGCUCGUAGGCGGUUCAGUAAGUCAGGUGUGAAAGCUCCGAGCUCAACUCGGAGAGGCCACCUGAUACUGCUGUGACUAGAAUCCAGUAGGGGAGUGUGGAACUCCUGGUGUAGCGGUGAAAUGCGCAGAUAUCAGGAAGAACACCAGCGGCGAAGGCGGCACUCUGGGCUGGAAUUGACGCUGAGGAGCGAAAGUGUGGGUAGCAAACAGGAUUAGAUACCCUGGUAGUCCACACCGUAAACGUUGGGCACUAGGUGUGGGGAGGAUCAACCCUUUCCGUGCCGUAGCUAACGCAUUAAGUGCCCCGCCUGGGGAGUACGGCCGCAAGGCUAAAACUCAAAGGAAUUGACGGGGGCCCGCACAAGCGGCGGAGCAUGUUGCUUAAUUCGAGGCAACGCGAAGAACCC